AGAGAUAGACGCCUUCCCCUUCGGGGACGAAAGUGACAGGUGGUGCAUGGUUGUCGUCAGCUCGUGUCGUGAGAUGUUGGGUUAAGUCCCGCAACGAGCGCAACCCUUAAGCUUAGUUGCCAUCAUUAAGUUGGGCACUCUAGGUUGACUGCCGGUGACAAACCGGAGGAAGGUGGGGAUGACGUCAAAUCAUCAUGCCCCUUAUGAUUUGGGCUACACACGUGCUACAAUGGACAAUACAAAGGGCAGCUAAACCGCGAGGUCAUGCAAAUCCCAUAAAGUUGUUCUCAGUUCGGAUUGUAGUCUGCAACUCGACUACAUGAAGCUGGAAUCGCUAGUAAUCGUAGAUCAGCAUGCUACGGUGAAUACGUUCCCGGGUCUU
rnacentral:rRNA from 1 species